rnacentral:rRNA from 1 species
UACAGAGGUCUCAAGCGUUGUUCGGAUUCAUUGGGCGUAAAGGGUGCGUAGGCGGCGCGGUAAGUCGGGUGUGAAAUUUCGAGGCUUAACUUCGAAACUGCAUUCGAUACUGCCGUGCUUGAGGACUGGAGAGGAGACUGGAAUUUACGGUGUAGCGGUGAAAUGCGUAGAUAUCGUAAGGAAGACCAGUGGCGAAGGCGGGUCUCUGGGCCGUAACUGACGCUGAGGAGCGAAAGCGUGGGGAGCGAACAGG